AACGAACGCUGGCGGCAGGCCUAACACAUGCAAGUCGAGCGAGGACUUCGGUUCUAGCGGCGGACGGGUGAGUAACGCGUGGGAAUGUGCCCUUCUCUACGGAAUAGCCCUGGGAAACUGGGAGUAAUACCGUAUACGCCCUUUUGGGGAAAGAUUUAUCGGAGAAGGAUCAGCCCGCGUUGGAUUAGGUAGUUGGUGGGGUAAUGGCCUACCAAGCCGACGAUCCAUAGCUGGUUUGAGAGGAUGAUCAACCACACUGGGACUGAGACACGGCCCAGACUCCUACGGGAGGCAGCAGUGGGGAAUCUUAGACAAUGGGGGCAACCCUGAUCUAGCCAUGCCGCGUGAGUGAUGAAGGCCUUAGGGUUGUAAAGCUCUUUCAGCUGGGAAGAUAAUGACGGUACCAGCAGAAGAAGCCCCGGCUAACUCCGUG
rnacentral:rRNA from 1 species